CUCCUACGGGAGGCAGCAGCAGGGAAUCUUGCGCAAUGGACGGAAGUCUGACGCAGCGACGCCGCGUGGGUGAAGACGGCCUUCGGGUUGUAAAGCCCUUUUCUGGAGGAAGAGGGAGGACGGUACUCCAGGAAUAAGUGUCGGCUAACUACGUGCCAGCAGCCGCGGUAAUACGUAGGACACGAGCGUUAUCCGGAUUUACUGGGCGUAAAGCGCCUGUAGGCGGUUCUUCAAGUCGUUUGUGAAAGCCCUGGGCUCAACCUGGGGAGGCCAAGCGAUACUGGAGGACUUGAGGGUGACAGAGGGGAGUGGAAUUUCCGGUGUAGCGGUAAAAUGCGCAGAAAUCGGGAGGAACACCAGUGGCGAAGGCGGCUCCCUGGGUCACACCAGACGCUGAGAGGCGAAAGCUAGGGGAGCGAACAGGAU
rnacentral:rRNA from 1 species